UUGAGCGGAUUGCGGUGAAAAUCGCACGGUCCGUUCUUGGAAGGCUGGGUUAGGGUAACCUAACCUGGCUAUUCGAC
rfam:Methanospirillum hungatei JF-1, complete genome.